AACGCUGGCGGCGUGCUUAACACAUGCAAGUCGAACGGAAAGGCCCUGCUUUUGUGGGGUGCUCGAGUGGCGAACGGGUGAGUAACACGUGAGUAACCUGCCCUUGACUUUGGGAUAACUUCAGGAAACUGGGGCUAAUACCGGAUAGGAGCUCCUGCUGCAUGGUGGGGGUUGGAAAGUUUCGGCGGUUGGGGAUGGACUCGCGGCUUAUCAGCUUGUUGGUGGGGUAGUGGCUUACCAAGGCUUUGACGGGUAGCCGGCCUGAGAGGGUGACCGGCCACAUUGGGACUGAGAUACGGCCCAGACUCCUACGGGAGGCAGCAGUGGGGAAUAUUGCACAAUGGGCGGAAGCCUGAUGCAGCAACGCCGCGUGCGGGAUGACGGCCUUCGGGUUGUAAACCGCUUUCGCCUGUGACGAAGCGUGAGUGACGGUAAUGGGUAAAGAAGCACCGGCUAACUACGUGCCAGCAGCCGCGGUGAUACGUAGGGUGCGAGCGUUGUCCGGAUUUAUUGGGCGUAAAGGGCUCGUAGGUGGUUGAUCGCGUCGGAAGUGUAAUCUUGGGGCUUAACCCUGAGCGUGCUUUCGAUACGGGUUGACUUGAGGAAGGUAGGGGAGAAUGGAAUUCCUGGUGGAGCGGUGGAAUGCGCAGAUAUCAGGAGGAACACCAGUGGCGAAGGCGGUUCUCUGGGCCUUUCCUGACGCUGAGGAGCGAAAGCGUGGGGAGCGAACAGGCUUAGAUACCCUGGUAGUCCACGCUGUAAACGGUGGGUACUAGGUGUGGGGUCCAUUCCACGGGUUCCGUGCCGUAGCUAACGCUUUAAGUACCCCGCCUGGGGAGUACGGCCGCAAGGCUAAAACUCAAAGGAAUUGACGGGGCCCCGCACAAGCGGCGGAGCAUGCGGAUUAAUUCGAUGCAACGCGUAGAACCUUACCUGGGUUUGACAUGGAUCGGGAGUGCUCAGAGAUGGGUGUGCCUCUUUUGGGGUCGGUUCACAGGUGGUGCAUGGCUGUCGUCAGCUCGUGUCGUGAGAUGUUGGGUUAAGUCCCGCAACGAGCGCAACCCUUGUUCACUGUUGCCAGCACGUUAUGGUGGGGACUCAGUGGAGACCGCCGGGGUCAACUCGGAGGAAGGUGGGGAUGACGUCAAGUCAUCAUGCCCCUUAUGUCCAGGGCUUCACGCAUGCUACAAUGGCUGGUACAGAGAGUGGCGAGCCUGUGAGGGUGAGCGAAUCUCGGAAAGCCGGUCUCAGUUCGGAUUGGGGUCUGCAACUCGACCUCAUGAAGUCGGAGUCGCUAGUAAUCGCAGAUCAGCAACGCUGCGGUGAAUACGUUCCCGGGGCUUGUACACACCGCCCGUCAAGUCAUGAAAGUUGGUAACACCCGAAGCCGGUGGCCUAACCGUUGUGGGGGAGCCGUCGAAGGUGGGACUGGUGAUUAGGACUA
rnacentral:rRNA from 1 species